rnacentral:rRNA from 1 species
UACAGAGGUGCCAAGCGUUAGGCGGAAUCACUGGGCUUAAAGCGUGUGUAGGCGGAUCGUUAAGUGCUUUGUGAAAUCCCACGGCUUAACCGUGGAAUGGCUUGGCAUACUGGCGGUCUUGAGCCACUUAAGGGCAACUGGAACAAACGGUGGAGCGGUGAAAUGCGUAGAUAUCGUUUGGAACGCCAACGGUGAAAACAGGUUGCUGGGAGUGUGCUGACGCUGAGACACGAAAGCCAGGGGAGCAAACGGG